rnacentral:rRNA from 1 species
CAGCAGCCGCGGUAAAACCGAGGGUGCAAGCGUUAAUCGGAAUUACUGGGCGUAAAGCGCGCGUAGGUGGUUUGUUAAGUUGGAUGUGAAAUCCCCGGGCUCAACCUGGGAACUGCAUCCAAAACUGGCAAGCUAGAGUAUGGUAGAGGGUGGUGGAAUUUCCUGUGUAGCGGUGAAAUGCGUAGAUAUAGGAAGGAACACCAGUGGCGAAGGCGACCACCUGGACUGAUACUGACACUGAGGUGCGAAAGCGUGGGGAGCAAACAGGAUUAGAGACCCGAGUAGUCCCUGUCUCUUAUAC